AAUAUAGGUACCAAUGUGGAGAGGGAGAAGGUAACACGUGCUUCUUGCCUUUAGGUGCUGCUAGAAGCUGGUGGAGAGCAGCUGCUCUCAUGGCAUUGGAGAACUGCUGUAGUGUGUGUUCAUUUACAGACACAAGAACUAUAUAUGCCCGUGGGACAGAGGUCCUGCUGAGGCUGGAAGCAGAUAGCUGUGAAGCCUGCAUUAUGACUGCCUGAGCUGAACUGCUUUCAUGGGAAUGAAAGAGAGGGAAACGUCACCAGCAGAAGGCCCUCCUGCCUGCUGGCUCCCUUCUCCGCCCUUUGCUGGCUUCAGAAAGCAACAACGUGUGGGUGCCAGCCAGCAAACAGCAUGGUAAGAUUGGGUUCUUGAGAGUUUUUUGCCAGUGCAACUGAUUUUGAGCAUGCCAAGACCAGCCCCUCUGCCCUGAGUCCGUAUAUAACAGCUCGCUUUGGCAAAGAAACAACUGCAGCUAAUGGGAAGAGCAGCUUAUCUUGCAGGCAUCAAAAUGGUUCAGACCCGAACCUCCUAACCCCUGGUGUGCUGUCACUUCCCUAUCCAUCAGCAGUUCCA
rnacentral:lncRNA from 1 species